rnacentral:tRNA from 1 species
AUUAUCUUGGCAGAAAUAUAUGCAUUAGGUUUAGGACUUAAUUAUAUAGUAGAUUUAAACUAUAGAUAAUA